CCUACGGGUGACUGCAGUGGGGAAUAUUGCACAAUGGGGGAAACCCUGAUGCAGCGACGCCGCGUGAGUGAAGAAGUAUCUCGGUACGUAAAGCUCUAUCAGCAGGGAAGAAAAUGACGGUACCUGACUAAGAAGCCCCGGCUAACUACGUGCCAGCAGCUGCGGGAAUACGUAGGGGGCAAGCGUUCUCCGGAUUUACUGGGUGUAAAGGGAGCGUAGACGGCAGCGCAAGUCUGGAGUGAAAUGCCGGGGCCCAACCCCGGAACUGCUCUGGAAACUGUGGAGCUGGAGUGCAGGAGAGGUAAGCGGAAUUCCAGGUGUAGCGGUGAAAUGCGUAGAUAUCAGGAGGAACACCAGCGGCGAAGGCGGCUUACUGGACUGUAACUGACGUUGAGGCUCGAAGGCGUGGGGAGCAAACAGGAUUAGAUACCCGUGUAGUC
rnacentral:rRNA from 1 species